rnacentral:rRNA from 1 species
GAAUAGGGCGUUUAGUAUUUGGUCGUAGACCCGAAACCAGGUGAUCUACCCUUGGUCAGGUUGAAGUUCAGGUAACACUGAAUGGAGGACCGAACCGACUUACGUUGAAAAGUGAGCGGAUGAACUGAGGGUAGCGGAGAAAUUCCAAUCGAACCUGGAGAUAGCUGGUUCUCUCCGAAAUAGCUUUAGGGCUAGCCUCAAGUGAUGAUUAUUGGAGGUAGAGCACUGUUUGGACGAGGGGCCCCUCUCGGGUUACCGAAUUCAGACAAACUCCGAAUGCCAAUUAAUUUAACUUGGGAGUCAGAACAUGGGUGAUAAGGUCCGUGUUCGAAAGGGAAACAGCCCAGACCACCAGCUAAGGUCCCAAAAUAUAUGUUAAGUGGAAAAGGAUGUGGCGUUGCCCAGACAACUAGGAUGUUGGCUUAGAAGCAGCCAUCAUUUAAAGAGUGCGUAAUAGCUCACUAGUCGAGUGACACUGCGCCGAAAAUGUACCGGGGCUAAACAUAUUACCGAAGCUGUGGAUUGUCCUUUGGACAAUGGUAGGAGAGCGUUCU